GGAUGUAGCUUAGUGGGAGAGCACUUGCCUAGUAUGCAUAAGGUCUUGGGUUAAAUCCCCAGUACCA
rnacentral:tRNA from 1 species